AGAACGAACGCUGGCGGCAGGCCUAACACAUGCAAGUCGAACGCCGUAGCAAUACGGAGUGGCAGACGGGUGAGUAACGCGUGGGAACAUACCCUUCGGUUCGGAAUAACUCAGGGAAACUUGAGCUAAUACCGGAUACGUCCGAGGUUUUAAUCGACCUUGGAGAAAGAUUUAUCGCCGGAGGAUUGGCCCGCGUCUGAUUAGCUUGUUGGUGAGGUAAUGGCUCACCAAGGCGACGAUCAGUAGCUGGUCCGAGAGGAUGAUCAGCCACAUUGGGACUGAGACACGGCCCAAACUCCUACGGGAGGCAGCAGUGGGGAAUAUUGGACAAUGGGCGCAAGCCUGAUCCAGCAAUGCCGCGUGAGUGAUGAAGGCCUUAGGGUUGUAAAGCUCUUUCGCCCGCGACGAUGAUGACGGUAGCGGGAGAAGAAGCCCCGGCUAACGUUCGCGCCAGCAGCCGC
rnacentral:rRNA from 1 species